AUACGGAGGAUCCGAGCGUUAUCCGGAUUUAUUGGGUUUAAAGGGUGCGCAGGCGGCCAUUUAAGUCAGCAGUUAAAUCGUGGGGCUCAACCCCAUUCUGCCGUUGAUACUGGGUGGCUUGAUUGCGGUCGAGGUUGGCGGAAUUCGUUGUGUAGCGGUGAAAUGCAUAGAUAUGACGAAGAACACCGAUUGCGUAGGCAGCUGACCAGACCGCAAAUGACGCUCAUGCACGAAAGUGCGGGGAUCGAACAGGAUUAGAUACCCUGGUAGUCCGCACAGUAAACGAUGAAUACUUGUUUUCGGCGAUAUAAUGUCGGAGGCAAAGCGAAAGCGAUAAGUAUUCCACCUGGGGAGUACGCCGGCAACGGUGAAACUCAAAUGAAUUGACGGGG
rnacentral:rRNA from 1 species